AUACUUAACUGGUAGGAGAGAUACCACAAUCAUUAAGGUGGUUUUCCCAAGGCGAGUCUUAUCCAUUGCACUCUGGAUAUGCUGAUCCCUGCGAUUUCCCCAGAUGUAGGAAACUCAACUGCAUAAUUCGUGGUAGUGGGGGACUGCAUCCGUGCUUCCCCACG
ensembl:snRNA U1 U1 spliceosomal RNA